rnacentral:lncRNA from 1 species
CAUAAUUCACUCUGACAUUUUAGUGAUCACUUUUCAAAUGUCUUCCGAAGUAGCCCUCAGAAAAAAUAGAAUGUACACAUUCAGACAAUGUCGAGGAAGGAAGUAUUUGUCACUGGAACGUGGAACAUCUGCUGCGCCCCUGGAGUUCUCUGCCUGGCGAGAGUUGAGAUCGCUCUGAAAGCAUGGGUUUGGGAUCAGCUGGGCAUGCGCUGUGGAGUGGCACAACCUGCCUUCCCCUACUCUGCACAGAUGUCGGUGAACGGAGCCUCUGACACCCAGGAAAAGUAGAAGGAAAAUCAAGGCUACACUCAAGUUGUUUGCCAAGAGGAGGUAAACUGUGUUGCUGUUACUUUUUUCGGGGGAACAGAUUAUGUAUGUGACAUGCAGCAAUGCUGGACAGAGGCCGGAUACAAAGUAACUCGUGAUGAGAUCAUAUUUGGUAUACGCUGAACCCACAGUCACAGACACAGAGUAAACUGCCCUUGCAGCCUACAGGCACUGAAAAGUGAGAACCCUGAAUCCUUCUCCAGCUCUGGAGCCACAGUGUUAGCAG